rnacentral:rRNA from 1 species
UACGUAGGGGGCAAGCGUUGUCCGGAAUUAUUGGGCGUAAAGCGCGCGCAGGCGGUUUGUUAAGUCUGAUGUAUAAACCCAAGGCUCAACUUUGGGACGCAUUGGAAACUGGGAGACUGGAGUGUAGGAGAGGAAAGUGGAAUUCCACGUGUAGCGGUGAAAUGCGCAGAUAUCAGGAGGAACACCGAUGGCGAAGGCAGGUCUCUGGGCAUUAACUGACGCUGAGGAGCGAAAGCAUGGGGAGCGAACAGG